rnacentral:ncRNA from 1 species
UCUGUGGAGAGUUAUACCAAACUAGAGUAAACAUUAGUUGAAAUAGGACUUGAUGAAACAGAAA